AUUGAACGCUGGCGGCAGGCCUAACACAUGCAAGUCGAGCGAGCGGCGGAAGGGUGAGGAAUGUAUGGGGACUGCCCGAUAGAGGGGGAUAACUACUGGAAACGGUAGCUAAUACCGCAUACUAUCGGAUAACGCAUAUGGGAGUAGCUAGUAGGUGGGGUAAUGGCUCACAUAGGCGACGAUCCCUAGCCGGCCUGAGAGGAUGAGCAGCCACACUGGGACUGAGACACGGCCCAGACUCCUACGGAGGCAGCAGUGGGGAAUCUUGCACAAUGGGCGCAAGCCUGAUGCAGCCAUGCCGCGUGUAUGAAGAAGGCCCUAGGGUUGUAAAGUACGUUCGGUCGGGAGGCGUUACCCGCAGAAGAAGCACCGGCUAACUCCGUGCCAGCAGCCGCGGUAAUUC
rnacentral:rRNA from 1 species